AUUGAACGCUGGCGGCAGGCUUAACACAUGCAAGUCGAGCGGAGAUGAGGUGCUUGCACCUUAUCUUAGCGGCGGACGGGUGAGUAAUGCUUAGGAAUCUGCCUAUUAGUGGGGGACAACAUUUCCGAAAGGAAUGCUAAUACCGCAUACGUCCUACGGGAGAAAGCAGGGGAUCUUCGGACCUUGCGCUAAUAGAUGAGCCUAGGUCGGAUUAGCUAGUUGGUGGGGUAAAGGCCUACCAAGGCGACGAUCUGUAGCGGGUCUGAGAGGAUGAUCCGCCACACUGGGCCUGAGACACGGCCCAGACUCCUACGUGAGGCAGCAGUGGGGAAUAUUGUACAAUGGGGGGAACCCUGAUCCAGCCAUGCCGCGUGUGUGAAGAAGGCCUUAUGGCUGUAAAGCACUUUAAGCGAGGAGGAGGCUACUGAGACUAAUACUCUUGGAUAGUGGACGUUACUCGCAGAAUAAGCACCGGCUAACUCUGUGCCAGCCGCCGCAGUAACAC
rnacentral:rRNA from 1 species